rnacentral:misc_RNA from 1 species
CUUUAUUAGCGUGUGUUGGCAAUGGUCUGAUUGUUACACCAAAAGAACCCAAAUUUGGGUAAUUUAUCUACAGUAGUUUAAGCCCCAAUGGGGAUGAUGGUUCUUUUAAUAUGUGUUGAGACGCAUUAUACAGAAUAAAUUGAUUUUAUUUCUCACUUUUCAUUCUAUUUUCAUCAGGAAUCCCUGUGUCCUGUGCGGUAAUCUGCUGCUAUCGAGAACGACAGACAUCGCUAACAGUAUAUAUGGAAACAUCAAAAGAGAAGACGAUAACAAGCCCUGGGCCAUACAUAGUUCGAUUACUUAACAGCUCACUGAACGGC